rnacentral:rRNA from 1 species
AUGGAACCAAAGCAUUCUGCUGAAAUGUCCAGGCAUUUGGACAAGCAAAAUCAUGCCCUAAUGGAAACAUACCGAGCAAUGUCCCAUGAGUUGCAUAAACUACAGGUUGAAGAGGAAACAAUCAUGCGCAAGUUGUAUGAGCUGAUGUCUGCAGAAGGGCUUCUCCCAAAGCACAAGGAAAAAAGGCAGCCGGAGAGAGCAGGGGAAUCAAGCGAGGAAAACGAAGAACAGGAACCAUAG